rnacentral:lncRNA from 1 species
GUUCUAAUCAGUGGUAGCGCGUUACACGGCCUUGCACUUGUAUCUUGUUUCGUGAGUGUCACUUAGAAAUUAGUUCAUAUCUCACAGUGGCGGCCCCACCACCACACUCACUAGGUGAAUCCUCAAAGAGUGGGUUGUGACCCCCACCCCUACAAUAAUUGUCAUCGGAUUCAUUAAGAGGUAUUUUUUUAUACCAAAAAUACACAUAUAUAAAUACCUCAACCUUAAUAUUGC